ACAUCCAGAGAACUUAGCAGAGAUGCUUUGGUGCCUUCGGGAACUCUGAGACAGGUGCUGCAUGGCUGUCGUCAGCUCGUGUUGUGAAAUGUUGGGUUAAGUCCCGCAACGAGCGCAACCCUUUAUCCUUUGUUGCCAGCGGUUCGGCCGGGAACUCAAAGGAGACUGCCGGUGAUAAACCGGAGGAAGGUGGGGAUGACGUCAAGUCAUCAUGGCCCUUACGGCCAGGGCUACACACGUGCUACAAUGGCGCAUACAAAGAGAAGCGACCUCGCGAGAGCAAGCGGACCUCAUAAAGUGCGUCGUAGUCCGGAUUGGAGUCUGCAACUCGACUCCAUGAAGUCGGAAUCGCUAGUAAUCGUAGAUCAGAAUGCUACGGUGAAUACGUUCCCGGGCCUUGUACACACCGCCCGUCACACCAUGGGAGUGGGUUGCAAAAGAAGUAGGUAGCUUAACCUUCGGGAGGGCGCUUACCACUUUGUGAUUCAUGACUGGGGUGAAGUCGUAACAAGGUAGGCGUAGCGAG
rnacentral:rRNA from 1 species